rnacentral:rRNA from 1 species
AUUGAACGCUGGCGGCAUGCUUUACACAUGCAAGUCGGACGGCAGCACAGAAAAGCUUGCUUCUUGGGUGGCGAGUGGCGAACGGGUGAGUAAUAUAUCGGAACGUACCGAGUAAUGGGGAUAACUAAUCGAAAGAUUAGCUAAUACCGCAUAUUCUCUGAGGAGGAAAGCAGGGGACCUUCGGGCCUUGCGUUAUUUGAGCGGCCGAUAUCUGAUUAGCUAGUUGGUGGGGUAAAGGCCUACCAAGGCGAUGAUCAGUAGCGGGUCUGAGAGGAUGAUCCGCCACACUGGGACUGAGACACGGCCCAGACUCCUACGGGAGGCAGCAGUGGGGAAUUUUGGACAAUGGGCGCAAGCCUGAUCCAGCCAUGCCGCGUGUCUGAAGAAGGCCUUCGGGUUGUAAAGGACUUUUGUCGGGGAAGAAAAGGCUGUUGCUAAUAUCGACAGCUGAUGACG